rnacentral:lncRNA from 1 species
GCCAGUUAAAUAUACAUCUCUAGGUUUUUCAUCAUGGAUUAACAGCUUUCUUAAUUCAGCAUGAGAAUUAAAUUUCUAUUUGAAGAGAUUCAAAAUCCUGUAAGGAUUGGAAUUGGGAACUUGCCGAAGGUGGUUGGAGUGUCCGCCGUCCGUCUUGGUCGGGUCGUUCGUGUGGCGAGCGAUGUUGUGGAAUUACCAUAAUUGAUGAUAAAGUUUUUGUUAAAGUUUGUUUUGGAAUAUUUAAUAUGAUUUCCUUAAUUAAUAUUGUGUUUUAUUUUUUAUUAAUGAUAUUUUGCUUAAUAGUUAGAUUACUAAUUUUGUUCUUAUUGGAUUUGAUUAUGCAAAUUAGUUUAUGUAUAAAGUAUUUACGCUCAGAAGGGGGCGUUGGAAUUCUCGCCAUAUUUCGUUGUUUGUCUUGUUAUUGCCAUUGUAAAGGUCGUACUGGAGGAAGACUCUUAUGUGUGUAUUGAAAGGAUUUUAUUAUGCUAAAAAAAUGUUUUUAUUGGAAAACUGGCUUAUUUAUGUUUAUGUGGAGGAAUGGUUUUUUAUAUGUGAAAAGUUGUAAGUUACGACCUUAUGUUUUGAAAACAACAUUUAAGUUAAAACAGGCGAGAAUUUUGUUGUAUCUAUUUAGUAAUUUAUUGUUUUUGUUUCUAAAUUAUUCUUUUUUGCAAGUUAUUAAUAAAAUUAAUUUUUCCAUGGAAUCUUGGGUGACUU